GCCUUCCCUACCUCAGAGAAGACUGGCAGCCAGGACCCCAGCGGGUGAGCGACUCGAGAAACACGAUCAGCAGCAGGAUAGCCAGGAUACUGCUGCCUGGAAGGACACACAGACAGGUGUCGGUGCUGCCGGGGUCAGACGUGGCCCACCCCUCAUCUCCACGGACCAUGUAUGUGUUAGGUCUACAGUUAACCCACCACAGUGGAUCCACACGGCUGUCACCCAGAGAGGAAUAGCACGCUUUUUAAAGAAGAUUAAAAACAAAAGUCCCCCAAGACAAGACAAUGGGAGGAAAGCAAAGCGGUCUGUCAGUUGAAGAGGCACGUAGAAAUCUAUCCGUGCAUUAAACACCCUGAAGGCCCCGCAGACAUAUGCUGUCUGGGGACAGGCUUUGGAGAGGGGUGUGUUUUGAGGGACAAUUAACAGAGGGCACCAUGAGUCUUGGGACCUUUUACUGCAUUUGUACUUUGAACGGUGUCAAUGUGUUAUCUGGAGGGGGGGGGGAGGAAAGAAUCCCAAACUGUUCAUUUGACCCUGAACAUUCUGCACAUCUAAAACUGCAAAAUGCAAUGA